ACAAGCAAUUGGGCGGGAGGAUCUCCUCAAACCUCCAUCUCCCUAAAUAAAUUAGUUAGUUUAGGUUAUAGGCACUAUUUGAUUAUUUAGGUUUGAUUACUCAAUUUUAUUUUCCAAUUUGUCACUUUGAAUUUCACAAUGUAAAAGUGCCUAUACAAUUGAAAUUUGAUUUAAUAGAGUUGUUUUUGGUCCUGCUGGUGUGUUGCCACCAGCAGGACGUCUGCAUUUGAUCAUCUCUCUCUGUUGUAAGUUCAGCUGCACGAAAACUGCAAGUGUGGGGGGGUCGCCCGACCCCCCAACUUCAUCUCUGAACUGCCGUGAGCAUGGAACAACACUGCAUACACCUCGGCACGUCAUGGCACCAAAAACAGGCGCGAUGAGGGGGUCGCCCGACCCCCUUUCUAUGGCAAAAGGAAACGACACAAGUGCAGAAAGACUUCCCGAGGGACGUAGAAUCGAGUGGCAGGGCCAGGAACCUCCAGGUGGGGUCGGCCGACCCUUCCAUGGAGCCCUAGGCCCACCAGGCAGCUUCUAUACGACGAAAGACAUCUUUCCUGCCCGGUUUACUAAUUCUUCCCCCUCUCAGUCUGUCCAAUUCUUUACCUUUGUGUCACAAUUAAAAUAAAAUUUGAUAGUUUAAACUUGUUUGCAAAAUAAAAAGUGAACUGGUACAUGAUUUAAGAGAAAUAGUGACAUAAAGUAUAGUUCUUACAAUUGUUCAUCCUCAUGGGUAAAAAUCUAUAGGAACCAUAUUGACUAAGUUGUUGAUGAAAGUGAUAUAACUCUUGGCUAAGAAUUCAUAACAUUUCUAUUCAAGGUACUUAGAGAUUUGUUUCAAAAAUAUCACAAAACCAUAGUAUCAUUUACUCCUCAUUAGCAAGAAAUUCCCACUAAAAGCCAUACACUUAGAUAUUCAAGUAACCAUUUUAUGAAAUGCAACCUGCUUUUGUAAUGAGUUUUGUCAAAACCUUGUUGACCCUAGUGAGAGUUGUAUCAUAGUCACAAGAUCAAGAUCACGUACACACCACAUAUAUAUAUGCUGCUUCUACACUGGAAGUACACAACCACAUGUAUUGUGCAUCCACUAAAUAGGUUGCUCCAUACUCUAAGUGUUAGAACACCUCUCUAAAUAUUGUUUAGAAAAUGAGACAUAAAAGGGCUUGGCAAAAUAAAAGAAAAAGAAAAGAUGGACAUGUGCAAGUCCAUGAAAAAAAAAAAUUUGAGCACAUAAAGCUCGAAGAAAAAGAAAAUCUAGCCAUGUCUCAAUAUACAAGUAGAGAGAGUGUAGUAAAUAAAGGAGCAACCUAGUCCACCAUAUAACACACUUGCACAUCUUGAUCUAUGACUAUGACACUCCUCUCUUUGGAUCCUUGUUUUUGACUUAACAAUAUUUGCAAAGUAGAGUAUGCUACCUUGUUUAUCCCUACCAAGCCCCAUAUAAGCCUAUAAUUAAAGGAUGAAACAAGUUGGCAUUCAUACCUUGGUGAGGACUACUAAAAAAAACUUUGAGUGAUCUAGAGCGCUAAAUGAGGAGUAGGAUUGAACUAUGUGACUUAUUUUAAAAAGUGUCAUAAAAACUCUAAGUACCAAGAAUAUGAAAUUGGAAUUUGAUCUUGUUCUGAGAGUUGUUCCUUUUCUCAACCUCUGAAGGAUAUAUGCUAGACACUUACACAAAAACCCAUUUGGAUGAAUUAUGUUCGAACUAGCAUUUUAUGCUCACUACUAUCUUAAGUUAGAAACCAUUGAUCACUCAUUUUUAACCUUUACUCGAGGACGAGCAAAGACUCAAGUGUGGGGGGUCUUGUUGACGGUAUUUAUACCAUGUUUUCUACUAUCAUAACCGUCAACAUAAGACUCAUUUUGGGAGAAAACAACCAAACAAAGUAGUAAUAUAGGUACAUAUAACCUAGUUCCACAUGUACAUGCUACUAUUUGGUUGCAGGAGUAAGAACAGGUACUUUUCAAGGGUCCAAACACUAAGAAGGGGUGAAUAACUAAAGAUCAGUGACACCAGUAACCAAGACAACAUUAUAGUC
rnacentral:lncRNA from 1 species